UGGGAAUUUUCCGCAAUGGGCGAAAGCCUGACGGAGCAAUGCCGCGUGGAGGUGGAAGGCCUACGGGUCGUCAACUUCUUUUCUCGGAGAAGAAACAAUGACGGUAUCUGAGGAAUAAGCAUCGGCUAACUCUGUGCCAG
rnacentral:rRNA from 1 species